rnacentral:rRNA from 1 species
UUUCCUACGGGGGGCAGCAGUGGGGGAUAUUGGACAAUGGGGGGAACCCUGAUCCAGCGACGCCGCGUGAGUGAAGAAGUAUUUCGGUAUGUAAAGCUCUGUCAGCAGGGAAGAAAGCAAUGACGGUACCUGACCAAGAAGCCCCGGCUAACUACGUGCCAGCAGCCGCGGUAAUACGUAGGUGGCGAGCGUUGUCCGGAAUUACUGGGUGUAAAGGGAGUGUAGGCGGGAAAGCAAGUCAGAAGUGAAAACUAUGGGCUUAACCCAUAGCCUGCUUUUGAAACUGUUUUUCUUGAGUACUGGCG